rfam:West Nile virus strain Rabensburg isolate 97-103, complete genome.
AGAAGUCAGGCCAGCUUUAAGCUGCCACCGGAUGUCGAGUAGACGGUGCUGCCUGCAGCUCUUCCCCAGGAGGACUGGGU